rnacentral:rRNA from 1 species
UUCCGGUUGAUCCUGCCGGAGGCUACCGCUAUUGGAGUUCGAUUAAGCCAUGCGAGUCGCGAGAAAUUAGAUUCUCGGCGUACCGCUCAGUAACACGUGGGUAACCUGCCCUAUGCUGGAUAAUAACCUCGGGAAACUGAGAAUAAUGAUCCAUAGUUCACUACGCCUGGAACGGUGAGUGGAUGAAAGCCCCGGCGGCAUAGGAUGGGCCUGCGGCGUAUCAGGUUGUAGGGGGUGUAACGUACCCUCUAGCCCUCUACGCGUACGGGUGUUGGGAGACAUAGCCCGGAGAUGGAUUCUGAGACACGAAUCCAGACCCUACGGGGUGCAGCAGGCGCGAAAACUUGGCAAUGCGAGAAAUCGUGACCAGGGAACUCCAAGUGCAUCGGGUAAGACCGGUGCUUUUCUUGACUCUAAAUAGGUCUUGGAAUAAGGGGUGGGUAAGGACGGUGCCAGCCGCCGCGGUAAUACCGGCGCCUCAAGUGGUAGUCGCUUUUAUUGGGCCUAAAACGUCCGUAGCCGGUCUGAUACAUUCGUGGGUAAAUCAACCAGCUCAACUGGUUGAAUUCUGCGAGGACGGUCAGACUUGGGACCGGGAGAGGUGUGGGGUACGCUCAGGGUAGGGGUAAAAUCCUGUCAUCCUGAGCGGACCACCUGUUGCGAAGGCGCCACACUAGAACGGAUCCGACGGUCAGGGACGAAGCCUAGGGGCACGAACCGGAUUAGAUACCCGGGUAGUCCUAGGUGUAAACGCUGUGGACUUGAUGUUGGGGGUACUCCGAGCACUCUCAGUGUCGAAGCGAAGGUGAUAAGUCCACUGCCUGGGAAGUACGGUCGCAAGGCUGAAACUUAAAGGAAUUGGCGGGGGAGCACCGCAACCUGAGGAUUGUGCGGUUUAAUUGGAUCAACGCCGGA